CUCUCUUCAGCUCCUCAGGUGUGAGUGAUGCUGCCGAGUCUCGCCUCUGCUGCCUCUCAUGUGAGUCGAGCUGCCGAGUUGGAGAAGGAAGCUUUUUAAAAGAGGGGGCAUCAGGAGUGCACACCAAUCCAGCCCCUCUCUCCUCACCAUUGGCCGGUGAAAUGUAACAUCUGGGUCCCCCAUAUCAUAAUCCAAAAAAAGGUGAGGGUACGGUGGGGGUGGAGAGACACGCAUGCAGGGGGAGGAGGGGAGUGUGUGCUUGUAGCUGUGAUUACUGAAAAUAACAGGGUGUUUUCCUGUCCUUCUGAGCAGGAUCUCAUAAUUUCUUAUUUACAUUAUUAGUUGUAUUUUUUCUGCGUCUUUGUAACCCUCUUCUGCUGCAGUGAAGUUAUAUUUAUCCACAGAGCAGGUGUGUUCGUGCAUGUUUCCAUUUUUGAAUACCUCUUUUGGUUUCCGUGACAGUCUUUCAAAACAUCAGAAUGCCCUUUUAAACACUUUUUGUUUCAUAUUUUCUCUUCAGUGAUUUUUUUUUCUCCCAAAAUUCAAAACAUGGGAAACUAUUUUGAAACAUUCAUUACUUUACCUCAAGAUUCUAUUAACUGUUUAUUCUGUGUUAAACAUGCAAAGACAUUUCUAAUUAUCUUCUGUAAACUGUUGUGUCCGUCUUUGGUCCCUCUUCAGUCUUUCUCUGUCUGAAUCUCUGUUUCCGUCUCCCCAACUGACACAGGACAGUGCCAGAUGCUGCGCUCCCUCUAGGUUCAACUUCUGGUUCAGUUUUGUAACUUUUUAACAGUUACUGAUUGCAGGGUGAUGUGCUGCCAAAGAGUGGAAGUGGCGUCAUAUGGCAUGCCAUUCAGGAAAAAGUCCUCGGAACGCAGACACGAGACGUGCUUAUGAGGUGCAAUGUACUCAGUGCUCAUUUGCAGCAUGUGAAUUGUUGCUAUUUAGCGACGACGCUUGUAAAAGCCAUGGAAAUUAAGAACAUUAAUUGCUUUCAGCUCUUUUAUUUCUCCCUCUUGGUUCUAGAUUUAAAAAAGGAGUGUUAAACAGCAACUUUUAGAAGAAUGACUUUCAAGAUAAGUGCAGCUUUUUAAAUGGACUCUGAGAUCAUUGCUUCUUGACAAAGAUUAAGUUAAAGUAAAUGUUUAAUUCAUUGUUGUGAAGGAAAUUUGGCAAUUUUUACUGUGUUUAGGGUCCGUGUAUAUUUUGGCAAUUGGAUUUUCCGUUCUGAAACGGGUAUUGAAAAACAAAAAAUGAGUGGUUAUUUGAUUUUUGUUUUAAAAUACAAAAAAUAAAAUUGAAAUACAAGGCGUUUUUCCUUUUCAUGAUCAAAAAGGGAUAUACGAAAUUUUAAAAAAUAUUUAGAACAACAAAAAAAUAAAAUCAGUAAGAGACAGAAACGAAAAAAGGUCCGUUUUUUCAUUUUCUGAGACCGGAAGUGGUCAUCAGCAAGCGUGGAGCCAAACGACAACAAGAUUGUCAGAGGGCGGAGCCAGAGAGCAGUGAUUGGUCAGACCAUAGAUAUCGAUAGAAGACAGCGCGCUAGCGGAUCUAGUCUGCUAUGUGUAUCUAUGGCCAGCACGUCUGGUAGCAUCUCUGGCUGCUGUUGACCUGGUUUUUGGAGUAAAACACAGUGGAAGCUGAAUUAGUGAGGAUGACUCCUGCUCCUGUCAUCUCUAAGCUCCUCACACAUCUUUACCUGCACAUGAGGAAAAUCACUCCUGUAGAAUGCAGAUGUUCAGAGGGAGAUGAUGCCACAUCUGGUCCAGCUGAUGGAAGGUCUUGAAGUUCUCUGACUGGCCUCGACUGAAGAUGGUCGUCUCACUGGAUUUAAGGUUCAGAUGCUCAGUAACAAACUCCACCAAUGAGCCAACAGGGAAGCUUUAGGUUUAUUGAAUGUUGCUAUGAAGGUUUCACAGUUUUUCUUUGUGAAUGCAAUGUGCUCCAACUGAAACUUGAAUUAGAACUUAGAAGUAAAUCCUUCCAUCUGAAAGGAUUUAGUUGCAUUAAUAACCCCAUAACAUUCUAAUUUUUAUUCCAGUCUUGGUUGGAAAUAGAAUCUCUGUAUUGAUUCAGGUAAAAACUGAACUUCACAGCAUGUUGGAGCAAAACAACCAGAUGAAAACUGUGAUGGUGUUGGAUUGUCAGACUGUAAUGUUGCAGCUCAAAGCAGCUUUUCUGUCUCAGUUCAUUCUGACAUUCAGCUAUGAAUCAACACAGCAGAUGGUGAUCCAUGCUGUGGAAGUCUCACAUCUCCUGAUUUAAUGGAGCUGCUUUGCACUUUUUACACUGUUUAUUCACCAACACUUUAUUUUAUAAAAGUUCCAUCUAGUUUUUAUGAGGAAUGUGAUGUUUUAAUUUCUCUGUGAAUAACUGCAGUCUAAUGGAAGAGCUGGAACUGUAACAUCUGUCCUGAUAUUGAUCAUGAAGUAUUGAUCAGAAUACUUAUGGUCAGCAGUCAUCCCUGAAGUUUUACAUUAAAAUCUUUACUUGUGUUGUGAACUUUGGUAAGAAGCAGAAACUUUAGCGUUGCCAUGGAUACAUGAGUGUUAAAUUCUGUCCAUGUUUCCAUUUUGGGAAAUGCAGUCCAGCAGAUGAGUUUGUUUUUACUGCCAGCUACAUUCAGUCUGAGAUAUUAAGAAUAAAUAAAUGUGCAUAAUGUGGAAAUGAACAGAUUCUAUUUUUAUUUAUUCCUACAGCUGCUGCACGUAAAGUUCCAGAAUGUGGAGGAAUUUAGUCUCACAAUCACAGACAAUAAAUAUUAUCUGAAAGUUGGGUUAUUGUUGUUUAUCAGCACAAUACAAAAAGAUUCAUGUUAGACAUAUUCCAGUUAAGACUCUAGAAUAUCAUGAUUUAUGUAAAUUUACCUGAAUAAUAUGAAUGUUCAGGUUAAGAUUGUGCAGUGAUAUUUAUUAUGUAAGUUUAGCUGAUUAAAGUUUGACUCUGUACUACAAUAUUGUUAUUAUUAUUAUUAUAAUUUACAUCAUUAUUAUAAUAUUUAGGGUCAGACCCUACAGUAUUGAGAUUAAGAAAUCAAACAUUCUAUAAAAUGUAAAUACACUGAACUCAUUUGGAUAUAUUUAAGUGAGACUCUACAAUAUUAUUUGACACAAAUCUAUCUAAAUCCAAAUUUUAAUCAUUUUUACUCCAAACAUUUACUGGACUGAUUUAAAUAUUAAAAUCACUCCUUUCUAAUCCUCUGCUGUCUGUUCAAACCUGAGGCCUUAAAUAGAAACACACAAGUAUCUGAUUGAAGGAACUUCUGCAGAGUCCUGGUUCCACAACAUGAUGAUAGAAUUAUAGACAAACUUUAACAAAAGCUGCCUGAGAGUUUACAGGUUUUUAUGUUAGAUUUCUUCAGUAAUUUAAUAAGAGUUAUCAGCAAAAAUCAAGUGUUCAUUUGAUGAACUUCAUUUCCUAAAACAUCCAGAAUUGGAGCUCAUAUCUUUGGCAGCUGUAAAGUUUCUGCUCCUUCAAAGUUCACAACACACUGAAUGAAUUCCUAAAACAUUCUCAAUGCUGGAGAGCGUUUGUGAUGCUGAAGCAGUGAUCAGUUUUUCUGUUUCUUCUCUGGAGAUGCACAAUGAGGGACGUCUGCAGAGACUGAGAAAGAGUCUCACCACAUCCUGACAUGAGGAAAAAGACUUUAUUGAAGACUACAAUGAGAAAAACUAUCAGACAGCAGACGGCUGCAUUCAAGGUGAGAUCUGAACAUUUGAUCUGGAACAGGAAUUCAAUAACGGCAGCAUGAGCUUCAUUUCAGUCUGUAGCUGCUGAAUUCAUGGAUGAAUCAUCUGGCACUAGAGAGGAAGACCAUCAAACAUCCAUGUCAGCUGAUGGAGGUCCAAGAGUCUCACCCAACAAACAACCUACAGAGUGAAGACCUCCAAUCUGAUUGGACGGCCUCCUAUUCAGCCACAUUUUAGGCUGUUAGAUUGUUCCAGAUAAGACGAGUACAAGAUUCUUCAGAGCCGUUCUACCACGAGCCUGACAGGAAGAACUCCAACAGCUACUGAAUGUUCCUGUGGUCCCCUCAAGGCUACAGGAGGAGUCCUACGAGGACGAGCCGGUCCACCUGAUGGCGGCCAGUCGCUGCGGUUCAAAGCCAACACCGACUACGUGGACUUCUACUGGACCACACGGAGGCCUUCAAACCGGACCAACAAGUUCAGCGACUCCCCGACUCGUGGGUCUGAGGACGCCGCCGAGCCUCGGUCCAGCCGGCCUCCUGUCUGUGGGUGUUUGAGUGCUGAGAGGUUUGUGGAUGCAUGUGAACGUUCUGUGUUGAAACAGCAGCUUUGGACUGAGUAACGCCAGGAAAAACCAAGAGCUCCUUUAUUUGUGACUUCCACUAAAAAAACUGAUGAAAAUAAGUUUGCCAGGGUUCUGACUGAUAACAGAUUAUUAGAUAAUGAAAAUAAUUGUUUAAAUAUUCCUUUAAACAAUCCUUUUAGGUCUACAUUUCCUUUACACUGAAUUCUUGGUAUAUGUACAAGUAUUUUGGGUGGAAUAUACCAUUAAGCCCAAUGUUCGAGGGUUCUGGGAAUAUACCAUUACACCAACCUUUUAGGUAAAUGUUCCAAAAUGUUGGGUAGAAGAUACUAUCAGAUCAACCUUUUAGGUCUACAUUGGAAGAUUUUAGAGUAGAAUAUUACUCCAAACUAUCCUUUAGGUCUACAUUUAAGGUGGAAUACUCCUUUACACCAAGAUUUUUUUGGUCCACAUUGAAGGACUUUAGGUGGAAUAUUCCUUUGAACGAACUUUUUAAGUUUAUGUUCAAGGAUGUUGGGUGGAAUAUACCAUCAGACCAACUUCCAAGGUCUACAGUAGUGAAUUUUAGGUGGAAUAUACCAUUAAACUCACCUUUUAGGUCGACAGUGGAGGAUUUUAGGUGGAAUUUUCUUCCAAACCAUCUUUUAGUCUACAUUUAAGGAUAUUUAGGAUGGUAUGUUCUUCCAAACCAACUUCUCAGGUCUACAUUUCAGGUGGAAUAUUCCUCCAUACUAACUUUUUUGGUCGACAUUGAAGGAUUUUUUCUAAACCACCCUAUGGGGUCUAUAUUUGAGGUUUUAGGUGGAAUAUUCCUUUUAACCAGCCCCUCAGGUCUCUUUGAGGAUUUUGGAUGGAAUACUCGGUUAAACCAACAUUUUAGGUGCAUGUCUAAGGAUUUUUGCUGGAAUGUUCCUUUAAGGUGGAUGUGUGAGGACCUUGUAGGUGGAAUACUUCCUGAAACCAACCUUUUAGGUCAACAUUCAAAGAUUUAAGGUGGAAUAUUCCUUUAAACCAACCUGAAUUUCAUGUUAUGAUCAUUAUCAAGUGAGAAACCUCAAUCCAGACUCCUCAUAAUGACGUUUGAGAUUUAUGCUGCUGUUAUUUACUUAGUCCAGACUAAAUGACAGAAAUCCACAACUGUAAUUUUAUUUCAGGACUCGGUUAUUAAAUGUCAAAACAAUCCAUGUGAUUCUAAAAACUCAACAGCUUUACAAACUCUAAGAUUAAACUCUCCACAAGGAUCCAAAAUAAGUUUGACUGCUACAUGAGGGCCUUAAUUAUUCUUCAUCUACUUCCUGAAAAGUUUGGUCAAUAAAAAAGACAAAAACUAAUAUUUUCAGCUGAACUAAAGAUAGACUUUGUGAUUUUUCUGCUCACAUGUUGUGUUUUUGUAAACUUCCUCUUUCAAAUAAAUAUCCUCCUAACCCCCUGGAAACCAGCGUUUGUCCUGUUUUUGUGUUGCUCCUCUGCGACCCUAGACAGCCGGGUCCUAAUGUUUUUUGAGCAACACACCAUACUAUGACGUUUUUACAAUGAUGGUUCUACUAUGGAACCAGUUUGACAUGUUCAGGUGUUCUUUGUGUGAAAACUCAGAGACUUCAGGUAUCAGAAGGUGGUUUUCAACUUUCUUUGUUAACUUUCUGCUUCCACUUUAAACUAAAUUUCCUUCACUAACCCAGCCCUCUGUACUUCCAGUAAGCUGUGUUCCUAUUGGCUGUCCAGGUGGCUGCUUGGUGUUAUCAGGAACACCUGAGCAGCUCAGUGUCUUCCUGCUUUAUUUAGCUGCAGACAAACAUUUCCUCUGUUUCUCUUCACCACUGAACCGGGUUUGGCUCCGUUGCUUUAGUUUCUUCUUUAGGCGUUGGCUUGCAGCUUCCAGCAGUAAAAUCGUCUUUAAUGUGUUUCGUGGUGUGUUUUAGGGCUUUGUACUGGAUAGUUGUCUUGGUAAAUGUGGUGCUAAUGUGUGCAGUGAUUAGUGGAUUUGGUGCAGCUGAGUUGUGUCUUUAUCUUGGCUGUAGUGAGUCUUCAGAGGUUUUUGGUCAGACACAUUCUGUAUUCUUGUUUGUGAACCAAGGUUGGUUGUCCAGAAGGUAAGAGUUCCUGUCCUGAUUCUCUGUUUAAAGAAGUUCUCUGGCAGGCUGCAGGAGACUUUAGUGUUUGGGUUGUGCUAGUUUGGUUUUUGUACAGUUUCAUUUGGACGACUAUCUUGAGGCUCCUCCAUGUGGUUUGGUGAGGUUUUCUGGAACAGUUCUACAAAGCAACCUGCAGCAGAAGAGACUUUGAGAGUUUUUAGGAAGUUCUGGAGAUCAGACUUCAGAGCAGCAGAAACAUUUGUCAGCAGUUUGAGCAGGAGAAGGUGAUCUUCAGAGUAGAAAUGAGACAGAAACCUUAUUGACCCGUGUGGUGAGGUCCUGUACCAAGAGUUUGAGCAGGUUGUGAAGAGUCUGUAGUUCUUUGGUCUGAAAGCACAAGAAGAAUCGACUCAUUAAAGGAGAAAACAGGAGAUAUUGUUGGUUCUUCUGUUGCUCUGCAGUUUCCCAGUUUCCUUAGACUGAAGAUCAAGUUUAUAUUUUAAGUGAUUUCUCACGUGAGCCCAGGAAGACUUCAAUAAACUCCCUCCAUCCCCUGGACACAACAUAUUUUAUUACCAUGUUAAAUCUUUUUUUAAAAAUAUAUUUUUGAGUUUUAAUCAUAGUUUUUUUUUUCUCUUUGCUUGUUUAGUUUUGUCAUCUGUGUGAAAGGUGCUAAACAAAUAAAGUUGAAUUGAUAAACUGAAUAAUUGACUAACUCAUGAUUGUGACAACAGAAGUAUUUUCAUUGUGAUUUAAGGGUUUGUUUCAUUUUUAAAGUUGGGCUUAAAA